AUACGGAGGUUGCGAGCGUUACUCGGAGUCACUGGGCGUAAAGCGUCCGUAGGCGGUCGGGUAAGUCGGGUGUGAAAGCCCCGGGCUCAACCUGGGAAGUGCACCCGAUACUGCUCGACUCGAGUGCGGGAGAGGAUGGCGGAAUUCCCGGUGUAGCGGUGAAAUGCGUAGAGAGCGGGAGGAACACCAGUGGCGAAGGCGGCCAUCUGGCCCGCAACUGACGCUGAGGGACGAAAGCGUGGGGAGCAAACAGGAUUAGAAACCCUUGUAGUCC
rnacentral:rRNA from 1 species